rnacentral:tRNA from 1 species
AAGGGAGACCUAAUUCAGGUAGGAGACGAAAAAAAAGUAGUCCCAACCAAGAAUCAAUCCCAAAAGGUCGGAGCGAGGCGAAAUUGGCUUUCAAACUAGGUUCUGGGUUCACACAAGACCUGAAUCAGGAACAAGGGCUAUUAGCUCAGGUGGUUAGAGCGCACCCCUGAUAAGGAUGAGGUCCCUGGUUCGAGUCCAGGAUGGCCCACCUGCACAGGUGGCAAAAACAAGAGAAGCGAGGAAUCAGCACCUUAUCUUAUCUAUAUAUAUAUAGGAGAGAAUGCUGGCUCUGAGUAAAGAGUCCAGAGGAACCUUGAAAACUGCAUAGAGCUAGGUGAAAAAGCCAAAAAAGAAGACCGCAA